rnacentral:rRNA from 1 species
AUUGAACGCUGGCGGCAGGCCUAACACAUGCAAGUCGAACGAGUGGCGGACGGGUGAGUAAUGUAUGGGAAACUGCCUGAUGGAGGGGGAUAACUACUGGAAACGGUAGCUAAUACCGCAUACCAUCGGAUGUGCCCAGAUGGGAUUAGCUAGUAGGUGGGGUAAAGGCUCAACUAGGCGACGAUCCCUAGUUGGUCUGAGAGGAUGACCGGCCACCCUGGAACUGAGGAACGGUCCAGACUCCUACGUGAGGAAGCAGUGGGGAAUAUUGCACAAUGGGCGCAAGCCUGAUGCAGCCAUGCAGCGUGUAUGAAGAAGGCCUGCGGGUUGUAAAGUACUUUCAGCGGGUAGGCGUGACGCGCAGAAGAAGCACCGGCUAACUCCGUGCCAGCAGCCGCGGUAAUAC